rnacentral:rRNA from 1 species
UACGAGGGGUGCGAGCGUUAUUCGGAUUUAUUGGGCGUAAAGGGUGCGUAGAUGGUAUGUUAAGUUUGUUGUUAAAUUCUCCGGCCUAACUGGAGACAAGCAAUGAAUACUGGCGAACUUGAGGGUGGGAGAGAGAAGUGGAAUUCCCGGAGUAGCGGUAAAAUGCGUAGAUCUCGGGAGGAACACCGAUAGCGAAGGCAGCUUCUUGGCCCAUUCCUGACGUUGAGGCACGAAAGCGUGGGGAGCAAACAGG